UUGAUUACGUUUAAUUCGUCACGUGAUACAGCGCCAUAUAGGCCUACCUGUCCUCCUUCAGGUAUACACAGUGGUCUCACCUGGCUGAUCAGUUCAUGACUGUUUCUGGUCCUUUUAUAUUAGACUGACAAGGGCCGUUGUGGAAAUCCAUCACCAGGUUUCGCCGUCUGUUUGCUCAGAGCUAACAGGAUGAAGAACGUGGCUGUCGUCCUUGUUUCACUUGCAGUCACCAUACGCUGCGGGGUAGGACAAUCGGAGCAGUGUUCGGGAGAUUUGCAGUGGACGUCCUGUGGGACACCGUGUCCACUGGUUUGUGGUCAAGAGGAAGCAGCCUUCUGUAUGGAGGAGUGUGUCCGCGGCUGCGCAUGCCCACGGGGCAAGGUCAGGGUCACGAGGACCAGCAGUCAGUGCGUGGACAGCAGGGAGGACUGCCCGUAGUGAAACGGCGAUCACUUUUCUGUGAACAUUUUGUCAAUAACUGUUCAAGUAUGGUGUAUACUUAAAUAAAAUAUGACAAACAA